GGCGAAAUUGUAGUGCAAGUGAAGAUGCUUGCUACCCGCGAUUGGACGGAAAGACCCCGUAGAGCUUUACUGUAGCUUAGCAUUGAAUCUCGGUAUUGUCUGUACAGGAUAGGUGGGAGACUUGGAAGCUUGGGCGUCAGCCUGAGUGGAGUCAUCCUUGGGAUACCACCCUGACAGUACUGGGGUUCUAACCGGCGGCCAUGAAUCUGGUCACGGGACAUUGUUAGGUGGGCAG
rnacentral:rRNA from 1 species